rnacentral:tRNA from 1 species
UUUCCUGUAGAGCAAUGGAUAGCGUGUUGGACUUCUAAUCCAAAAGUUGUGGGUUCGAAUCCCAUCUGGGAGG